ACUAUUGAGAGUAGCUCGCGAAGGGUAUGGGUAUAAGUGUCCCUCCAAUCUGAGAUCACCAUGGUGACUUGUAAGCAACUCACUGUACUUUGAUAUUGAAUCAUCUAAAUUUUUAAUUUAGUGAUGAAAGAUUACUGAGUACAGUCAUAUUUAUCAAGUCAGUAUGCGAGUCAAGAUAGAAUUGAUCCCUCCGAAUAAGUAGGAGUUAUGCAUCAGCAUAUUUCAAUUUAGUAAAACCUUGACUAGGAUAAUUCAUUUGAUGGAUUUGAAAGGUUGAAAUAUAAUAUGUGAGACUAUUUUACGGUUGACAAUCAAAUCCUAGGUCAUCUUAAGCAUUAGGGUCAAAGGAAUGAAUUAUACGAUAACUAUACGCCAGU
rnacentral:lncRNA from 1 species